UGGGGAAUAUUGGACAAUGGGGGGAACCCUGAUCCAGCCAUGCCGCGUGUGUGAAGAAGGCCUUUUGGUUGUAAAGCACUUUAAGUGGGGAGGAGGCUUACCUGGUUAAUACCUGGGCUAAGUGGACGUUACCCACAGAAUAAGCACCGGCUAACUCUGUGCCAGCAGCCGCGGUAAUACAGAGGGUGCGAGCGUUAAUCGGAUUUACUGGGCGUAAAGCGCGCGUAGGUGGUUAAUUAAGUCAAAUGUGAAAUCCCCGAGCUUAACUUGGGAAUUGCAUUCGAUACUGGUUAGCUAGAGUAUGGGAGAGGAUGGUAGAAUUCCAGGUGUAGCGGUGAAAUGCGUAGAGA
rnacentral:rRNA from 1 species